UACGUAGGGGGCUAGCGUUGUCCGGAAUCAUUGGGCGUAAAGCGCGUGUAGGCGGUCCGGUAAGUCCGCUGUGAAAGUCGGGGGCUCAACCCUCGGAUGCCGGUGGAUACUGUCGGGCUUGAGUACGGAAGAGGCGAGUGGAAUUCCUGGUGUAGCGGUGAAAUGCGCAGAUAUCAGGAGGAACACCAAUUGCGAAGGCAGCUCGCUGGGACGUUACUGACGCUGAGACGCGAAAGCGUGGGGAGCGAACCGG
rnacentral:rRNA from 1 species